rnacentral:rRNA from 1 species
CAGUCGCCGCGGGAAUACGUAGGGUGCAAGCGUUAAUCGGAAUUACUGGGCGUAAAGCGUGCGCAGGCGGUUAUAUAAGACAGAUGUGAAAUCCCCGGGCUCAACCUGGGAACUGCAUUUGUGACUGUAUAGCUAGAGUACGGCAGAGGGGGAUGGAAUUCCGCGUGUAGCAGUGAAAUGCGUAGAUAUGCGGAGGAACACCGAUGGCGAAGGCAAUCCCAUGGGCCUGUACUGACGCUCAUGCACGAAAGCGUGGGGAGCAAACAGGAUUAGAUACCCGUGUAGUCCCUGUCUCUUAUAC